rnacentral:rRNA from 1 species
UACGAGGGGUGCAAGCGUUGCUCGGAAUUAUUGGGCGUAAAGGGUAGGUAGGUGGUCUGAUUUGUCAGGGGUGAAAGCCUUGGGCUUAACUCAAGAAGUGCCCCUGAAACGGUCAGACUGGAGUCUUGGAGAGGGUCGUGGAAUUCCCGGUGUAGCGGUGAAAUGCGCAGAUAUCAGGAGGAACACCUGUGGCGAAGGCGGCUCUCUGGGACGGUACUGACGCUGAGACGCGAAAGCGUGGGGAGCGAACAGG